rnacentral:lncRNA from 1 species
AAAGACUCUAAUAAGCAACAUCAGACUUAUAAAUGUUUGGGAUGUAAUUAAGGAUGAAGGUGGAGCAGAUCGGAGGGGACUAAAAUGUAUAUACCUCAGAGUAACUUACUUUAGGUCUUGCUCUAAAUCCUCAAGUCCUCAUAUGUAGAGAAUUGCGAGUAGGUAGACUAUCCAUAAUCAAACAAAAUAUCAAUCAAACUAUGUUCCUGCCACAUUUUGCAAAUUGAUAUAAAUUGCAGUUAACAGUACUGUAGAAGUCUUGAGUUAUAUUAAUGUUUUCUAGAAAUACAGAUGCAUACACUCAAAAAAUAAUUUGUGUUAAGAGUAAUGUAGAAUCUGGUUCAUUACAUAUGUGUAGUGUCUAUCAUGUAUCUCUAGUGUGGAGGCUUGUAAGACUACAAUGUGCCUAAAUAAAAAGACUGAAGAUGCUGAUCCAAUGGGAGGAAAAAAUAGUAGUUGGAUGUGCUUUCUGACAAAAGUGAACUAACAUCAAACAUCCUUUUUAUAAAUGAAAGUGUUGGUGUUCAUCAGAUGCUUCAGUAAUGUUUCUAGUCCCAGGAAGAUCUAUUCAAUGCAUGACUUCAUAUAUACGUGCAUACAAAAUAAUGCACGAUUGUCACAAGACAAGCUAGAGAAAGUAAGACAAAAAUCACACUCAAGCAAGUUCUCUUGUUGGUGCCAAGAUUAUGGCUAAAGGAUUCCUGCCAAAUCUGCAUGCUUCGUACUAUGCAAUUAUUACAAUAUAUUAUAUCUCCCUGGUAGAUAAAUUAAAAGAAUUCCACAUGUGAAAGAGAAACGAACCCAUUCUUCUCGUUGUAGCUGAGGAUCUUGUCCAUGAUAGGAAUAACAAAAGCCAGGGUCUUCCCAGUCCUGUUCGAGCAC